GCCAGACUCCUACGGGAGGCAGUAGUAGGGAAUCUUUCACAAUGGGCGAAAGCCUGAUGGAGCAACGCCGCGUGCAGGAUGAAGGCCUUCGGGUUGUAAACUGCUUUUAUAAGCGAGAAAUAUGAUGGUAACUUAUGAAUAAGGAUCGGCUAACUACGUGCCAGCAGCCGCGGUCAUACGUAGGAUCCGAGCAUUAUCCGGAGUGACUGGGUGUAAAGAGUUGCGUAGGUGGCAUGAUAAGUAGCUAGUGAAAUCUGGUGGCUCAACCAUUCAGACUAUUAGCUAAACUGUUAAGCUCGAGACUGUUAGGGGUAACUGGAAUUUCUAGUGUAGGAGUGAAAUCCGUAGAUAUUAGGAGGAACACCAGUGGCGAAGGCGGCUUACUGGACGGCAACUGACGCUGAGGCUCGAAAGCGUGGGGAGCAAACAGGAUUAGAUACCCCGGUA
rnacentral:rRNA from 1 species